rnacentral:tRNA from 1 species
GCUUCAUAGCUCAGUAGGUAGAGUGCAUCCAUGGUAAGGAAUGAGGUCACCGGUUCGAUCCGCGUUGGAAGCUCCA